rnacentral:rRNA from 2 species
AUUGAUUGGUGCUUGCAUCAUGAUUUACAUUUGAGUGAGUGGCGAACUGGUGAGUAACACGUGGGAAACCUGCCCAGAAGCGGGGGAUAACACCUGGAAACAGAUGCUAAUACCGCAUAACAACUUGGACCGCAUGGUCCGAGUUUGAAAGAUGGCUUCGGCUAUCACUUUUGGAUGGUCCCGCGGCGUAUUAGCUAGAUGGUGGGGUAACGGCUCACCAUGGCAAUGAUACGUAGCCGACCUGAGAGGGUAAUCGGCCACAUUGGGACUGAGACACGGCCCAAACUCCUACGGGAGGCAGCAGUAGGGAAUCUUCCACAAUGGACGAAAGUCUGAUGGAGCAACGCCGCGUGAGUGAAGAAGGGUUUCGGCUCGUAAAACUCUGUUGUUAAAGAAGAACAUAUCUGAGAGUAACUGUUCAGGUAUUGACGGUAUUUAACCAGAAAGCCACGGCUAACUACGUGCCAGCAGCCGCGGUAAUACGUAGGUGGCAAGCGUUGUCCGGAUUUAUUGGGCGUAAAGCGAGCGCAGGCGGUUUUUUAAGUCUGAUGUGAAAGCCUUCGGCUCAACCGAAGAAGUGCAUCGGAAACUGGGAAACUUGAGUGCAGAAGAGGACAGUGGAACUCCAUGUGUAGCGGUGAAAUGCGUAGAUAUAUGGAAGAACACCAGUGGCGAAGGCGGCUGUCUGGUCUGUAACUGACGCUGAGGCUCGAAAGUAUGGGUAGCAAACAGGAUUAGAUACCCUGGUAGUCCAUACCGUAAACGAUGAAUGCUAAGUGUUGGAGGGUUUCCGCCCUUCAGUGCUGCAGCUAACGCAUUAAGCAUUCCGCCUGGGGAGUACGGCCGCAAGGCUGAAACUCAAAG